UACGUAGGGGGCAAGCGUUGUCCGGAAUCAUUGGGCGUAAAGAGCGUGUAGGCGGCCCGAUAAGUCCGCCGUGAAAGUCCAGGGCUCAACCCUGGAAUGCCGGUGGAAACUGUCGGGCUGGAGUCCGGAAGAGGCGAGUGGAAUUCCUGGUGUAGCGGUGAAAUGCGCAGAUAUCAGGAGGAACACCAAUGGCGAAGGCAGCUCGCUGGGACGGUACUGACGCUGGAGACGCGAAAGCGUGGGGAGCGAACAGGAUUAGAACCUACCGUAGUCAG
rnacentral:rRNA from 1 species